GGCACUUGUACUCGUUGCGGCGCAACGAUGGUGAAGGA
rfam:Yokenella regensburgei ATCC 43003 genomic scaffold Scfld157, whole genome shotgun sequence.